GAGAUGUUUUGUAGCACAGUGCCGAAAUAGAAAGGAGUUAUUUUUUUAAUUUAUAUUAUAUUUUACGAAGGGAAUCUAAGAUCGUCUAAAAAGUCAGUUCGCACAAGGGCGACUUGGGCUUCUAGAAUAUAUCUAUAUAGCAGAAAUUUUAUAAAGCAAACACAGAGUUAGUACCUGUCAGAUCACAACAAUCCACAUUCCCCUCCGCAAACGAAAACAAUAUUUUUAAAGAGCAUUUUUGAUUAAGGAGAGAUUGCAUUGAGCAAUCUUGAUCAUCGGAGCCCGAACCUCUUCCACAUAGAUUAGUGGAAUUAGUGAUAAUAAGUAGUAUUAUUUUCAGAACGAUGACGGUGAUCCAAGUUGAAUGUGAUGUGAGCCAUCUCUGACGUUCUCAAGAGUUCCCAUCAUCAUAGAACAUAUAUUAUUUCCAACCAACUUCCACGUCCAUGACCACCACUAUAUGACAGGAGUUCUCCAAUAUGCCUCCAAUGCGAAUUCCUAUUUAAUGGUAAUUUCGUUUUUAAAGCAGCUAGAAAAUGGCACAACUCCGGAUCUUUUUAUUACAUUAAAUAUGGCAUCGAACGAACUUUUAUUAAGUACCCUAAACUAGACAAAGACAUUGAGUUAAGUUAAUAAAUGACAUAAACGCACGGCUUAA
rnacentral:sRNA from 1 species